rnacentral:rRNA from 1 species
UACGUAGGGACCAAGCGUUGUCCGGAAUCAUUGGGCGUAAAGAGCGUGUAGGCGGCCUGUUAAGUCUUGCGUGAAAUCUCGGGGCUCAACCCCGAGCGGUCGUGAGAAACUGGCAGGCUAGAGUGCGGGAGAGGAGAGUGGAAUUCCUGGUGUAGCGGUGAAAUGCGCAGAUAUCAGGAGGAACACCGGUGGCGAAGGCGGAUCUCUGGGCCUGUCCUGACGCUGAGGCGCGAAAGCUAGGGGAGCGAACAGG